CGGGGCCGCGCCCUGCGCGUGACCCGGCGCCGGCCCCGCCCGGUGAGCUCAUGGCCACGCCCCCCGGCGGCUUCCGGCCACGCCCCCCUCUCCGCUGACGUCACGGGAGCCCUUAAAAGGAGCUCGGCGGCGAGCGGCCGGUACUGGAGAUCCCCCCCCCACCUCCAUCCCGGGCUGCCAUGGCCGCCGCCGCCACCGGGCCUGCACCGGAGCCGCUGCGCCAGGUUCUCUUCGGUGCGCAGUCCCCCCGCCCGCCAUCCCCGGAGCCCCCCCGGCCUCCCCGUUCUCCUUGGGGCCCCCCCCCCGGACCUGGGCCGCCUCCUGCGUUCCCUCAGCGCCCCGAGCGGCCGCCCGGUGCCCCCCCCGCCCGGUUUCCCCCCCCGGCACCACGGAGCCCCCCCGGGCUUGAACCGCCCGGCCGGGGGGGCCAGCCUGGAGCUGCUGCUGGCGGCCUUGACCUUGACCUCGGACCUGGAGCCCGCGGGGGGGGCUCUACCCCCGUUAUCGGCACCGCCGUCCCCGUUGGCGUCACCGCUGACCCCCGGGGGACCCUCGCCGCCGCUCUCACUUCACCGCCUGCCUUCCUCCUCCUCCUCCUCCUCCUCCUUGCCACCGACACCGCUGCUCGCCCCCCCGGAGGCUUCCCCGUCGCCCCCCGCUUCGCCGCCGUCGCCACUCUACAAGACGGAGCUGUGCCGCCCCUUCUCCGCCACCGGCCGCUGCCGUUACGGCUCCCGCUGCCAAUUCGCCCACGGCCCCGGGGAGCUGCGGGGGCUCCGGCGCCACCCCAAGUACCGCACGCAGCCCUGCAGCACCUUCCUGCGCUGCGGCUCCUGCCCCUACGGCCCCCGCUGCCACUUCCUCCACGGACCCCCGGCAGCCCCCGCCGCCUCCCGGUGUUCGACCGCAUCUCGGUGGCGGAGUGAAACCCCCUAUGAAAAGGGGGGGGGCACCCCCACCCCCUGCUCUUUUAUGGGGGGGCGCCCCCACCCCAUGAUUUUCUAUGGGGGGGGUGGCACCGCUAUGAAGCCCCCCCCCUGCACCCUUUGUGCCUCUCAGGUGAAGGGGGAGCCCCCUUUUCAGCCCCCCCGUGCACUUUUUGGAUGUAGCAGCCCCCCCAUAAGGGGGGGGCGCGCCCUGAGCUUGUCUCAGUGGUGCUAAUUGGGGGGGGGUCGCCAGCGGGUCCUGGCUGCCCCACCCCCUCGAUUUAUGGCUUUAUUUAUUUAUAGUCGGUGCCUUGGGGCUGCCCCCAGCCCUGUUGGGGGGUGGGGAGGGUUUUUGGGGUAUUUAUGGGAUUUGUAUUUUUUUGGGGGGGAGGGGGGCGGGGGGAGUUUUUUAGGGUAUUUAUGGGGUUUUUAGGGUUUUUUGUGUGUGGGGGGGUGGUAAAUAAACACUUGAGCUGUGACCGAAGCCUCUCGUUUCCUCUCUCGCCGUCACGGGACGCCCUUCCGGGGCCA
rnacentral:lncRNA from 1 species